rnacentral:rRNA from 1 species
UACAGCACCCCGAGUGGUCGGGACGAUUAUUGGGCCUAAAGCAUCCGUAGCCGGUUCUGCAAGUCCCCCGUUAAAUCCAGCUGCUCAACAGAUGGGCCGCGGAGGAUACUACAGAGCUAGGAGGCAGGAGAGGCAAGCGGUACUCAGUGGGUAGGGGUAAAAUCCGUUGAUCCAUUGAAGACCACCAGUGGCGAAGGCGGCUUGCCAGAAUGCGCUCGACGGUGAGGGAUGAAAGCUGGGGGAG